rnacentral:rRNA from 1 species
AUUGAACGCUGGCGGCAUGCCUUACACAUGCAAGUCGAACGGCAGCACGGGGGCAACCCUGGUGGCGAGUGGCGAACGGGUGAGUAAUGCAUCGGAACGUGCCCAGUAGUGGGAGAUAACCCGGCGAAAGCCGGGCUAAUACCGCAUACGACCUACGGGUGAAAGCGGGGGACCGUAAGGCCUCGCGCUAUUGGAGCGGCCGAUGUCGGAUUAGCUGGAUGGCGGGGUAAAGGCCCACCAAGGCGACGAUAAGUAGCUGGUCUGAGAGGACGACAAGCCACACGGGGACUGAGACACGGCCCAGACUCCUACGGGAGGGAGCAGUGGGGAAUUUUGGACAAUGGGCGCAAGCCUGAUCCAGCCAUGCCGCGUGCGGGAAGAAGGCCUUCGGUUUGUAAACCGCUUUUGGCAGGAACGAAACGGCGCAAGCUAAUACCUUGCGCUAAUGACGGUACCUGCAGAAUAAGCACCGGCUAACUACGUGCCAGCAGCCGCCGUAAGAC